UACGAAGGUGGCAAGCGUUGUUCGGAUUUACUGGGCGUACAGGGAGCGUAGGCGGUUGGAUAAGCCCUCCGUGAAAUCUCCAGGCUUAACCUGGAAAGUGCAGAGGGGACUGUUCAGCUAGAGGAUGGGAGAGGAGCGCGGAAUUCCCGGUGUAGCGGUGAAAUGCGUAGAGAUCGGGAGGAAGGCCGGUGGCGAAGGCGGCGCUCUGGAACAUUUCUGACGCUGAGGCUCGAAAGCCAGGGGAGCGAACGGG
rnacentral:rRNA from 1 species